ensembl:lncRNA
AGUCCUCCAGCCCCAUAGGGGGCGCUGUGGGGCUCAAUAGAACUCUAUGGGGCUCUAUGGGUCUCUAUGGGUCUCUAUGGGUCUCUAUUGGUCUCUGUGGGUCCCUAUGGGUCCCUAUGGGUCCCUAUGGGUCCCUAUGGGUCUCUAUGAGUCCCUAUGGGGUCCCUAUGGGUCCUUAUGUCCCCCUAUGGGUCUCUAUGGGGCCCUGUGGGGUCCCUAUGGGUCCCUAUGGGUCUCUAUGUGUCCCUAUGGGUCUCUAUGGGGCUCUAUGGGUCCCUAUGGGUCCCUAUUGGUCUCUAUGGGUCCCUAUGGGUGAUAUGGGGUGUCUAUGGGGCUCUAUGGGGCUCAGUCCUCCAGCCCCAUAGGGGGCGCUGUGGGGCUCAGUCCUCCAGCCCCAUAGGGGGCGCUGUGUUGCUCACUGUUGCCUUCUCUCGCCCGCAGGUUUCCGUCGCCGUCGCUGAUUGGGUCGUUAAUUAAAGGAGUUAAUUAAGUCUCACGUUGCUCAUUAGUGUUAAUUAGAGAAGGGGGGGGGGGAUUCUAACAUGGCUGCCCCCUUCCAAUAUGGCUGCCACCGGAAUCCAACAUGGCUGCCCCCAGAAUCCAAUAUGGCCGCCCAUCAAAUAUGGCUGCCCCCAGAAUCCAAUAUGGCCACCCCCGUAAUCCAAUAUGGCCGCCCAUCCAAAUUGGCUGACCCCAAUCCAACAUGUCUCCUCCAUAGAGCCCCAUAGAGCCCUAUAGAGCCCCAUAGAAUCCCAUAGAGGCCCCAUAGACACCCCAUAGAGCCCCAUAGAGACCCCAUACAAUCCCAUAGAGCCCUAUAGAACCCCAUAGAGCCCCAUAGACACCCCAUAGAGCCCCAUAAGUUCCCUAUAGAGCCCCAUAGAGCCCAAUAGAGGCCCCAUAGAGCCCAAUAGACUCCCCAUAAUGCCCCAUAGCGCCCCAUAGAUCUUCAUAUCCCCACAUAGAGCCCCAUAGGACCCCACAGACUCCCAUAGUCACCCCAUAGAGCCCCAUAAAACCCCAUAGAGCCCCAUAGACACCCCAUAGAGCCCUAUAGAACCCCAUAGAGCCCCAUAGAGCCCCAUAGACACCCCAUAGAGCCCCAUAAGUUCCCUAUAGAGCCCCAUAGAGCCCCAUAGAGCCCUAUAGAGCCCCAUAGAACCCCAUAGACUCCCAUAGUCACCCCAUAGAGCCCCAUAGAACCCCAUAGAGCCCUAUAGGACCCCAUAGACUCCCAUAGUCACCCCAUAGAGCCCCAUAGAACCCUAUAGAGCCCCAUAGAACCCCAUAGAAUCCCAUAGAGCCCCAUAGAAUCCUAUAGAGCCCCAUAGAAACCCCAUAGUGCCCCAUAGUGCAUCAUUAUCUCCCCAUAGAGCCCUAUAGACACACUAUAGAGCCCCAUAGAGCCCCAUAGAAUCCCAUAGAGCUCUAUAGAACCCCAUAGAAUCCCAUAGAGCCCUAUAGAACCCCAUGAAAGGUCACGUGGCCGUCAUGCCGCGAUCUGAUUGGCUGCCGCUCUCCCGCCGCGCUUCCCGCCUGUGUCUAUGCCACGUGAUCUCCACCUCGCGUUCCCAUUGGUUGUCGCUACGCUGCCGCCACGCCGCGCGGGAUUGGCGGAGAGCGGCGGUGGGCGGAGCUACCGAGGUUAUAAAAGGGGGCGGAGCGGAGCGCGUGUCUCCACACAGCGGCGUCGGAGCAGCGGACCUGACCGCGAUCGUUAAGUGUUAAUUAAGACCUUAAUUAACCGCUAAUUACCAUCAUUAACAACCGCCUUAGGGCCGGGAGACGAUUCAGGUUUGAAGGGGGGUGGGUUAAAGUGCGAAAAUCCGCCGUUUUUUGGGUGAAUUUCGGACGUUUUGAGGCUUUUUGGGGCCUGUUGGUGUUUUGGGGUGAAAUCGGGCGGUUUUGGGUCAAAAUUGGGGCGGUUCGGGGGGGGGAGGGGGGUCAGGCGCCAUUUUGGGGCCGUUUUGAGGCCAAAUUGGGGCUUUUUGGGGCUUUUUGGGGCCGUUUGGGGCAAUUGAAGUUUUUGAGGUAAAAUCGAGCGAUUUUGGGCAAAUUUGAGGGAAAUUUCGACAUCCGGGAGUAGAAAAAGGGAAAUUGAGCCUUUUUGGGGCAUUUUGGGUCGUUUUUGGGUCAAAUUUGGGCCUUUUUGGGUCCGUUUUGGAGGUGUGAAAAUUUGGGUUAAAAAAGGCCUUUUUUGGUUCAUUUUCGGUCAAAAUUGAAGUUUUUAACAACGAUCGAAUAAAUUUGUGCCAUUUUAGGUCA